UACGGAAGGCAGCAGUGGGGAAUAUUGGACAAUGGGCGAAAGCCUGAUCCAGCCAUGCCGCGUGUGUGAAGAAGGUCUUCGGAUUGUAAAGCACUUUAAGUGGGAGGAAGGGCAGUAAUUAAUACUUUGCUGUUUUGACGUUACCGACAGAAUAAGCACCGGCUAACUCUGUGCCAGCAGCCGCGGUAAUACAGAGGGUGCAAGCGUUAAUCGGAAUUACUGGGCGUAAAGCGCGCGUAGGUGGUUCGUUAAGUUGGAUGUGAAAUCCCCGGGCUCAACCUGGGAACUGCAUUCAAAACUGACGAGCUAGAGUAUGGUAGAGGGUGGUGGAAUUUUCCUGUGUAGCGGUGAAAUGCGUAGAUAUAGGAAGGAACACCAGUGGCGAAGGCGACCACCUGGGACUGAUACUGACACUGAGGUGCGAAAGCGUGGGGAGCAAACAGGAUUAGAUACC
rnacentral:rRNA from 1 species